GCUUGAAUAGCUCAGUUGGUAGAGCAAUCGGCUGUUAACCGAUCGGUCGUAGGUUCGAGUCCUACUUCAAGCG
rfam:Clostridium spiroforme DSM 1552 Scfld_02_5 genomic scaffold, whole genome shotgun sequence.